GACGAACGCUGGCGGCGUGCUUAACACAUGCAAGUCGAACGGAAAGGCCCUGCUUUUGUGGGGUGCUCGAGUGGCGAACGGGUGAGUAACACGUGAGUAACCUGCCCUUGACUUUGGGAUAACUUCAGGAAACUGGGGCUAAUACCGGAUAGGAGCUCCUGCUGCAUGGUGGGGGUUGGAAAGUUUCGGCGGUUGGGGAUGGACUCGCGGCUUAUCAGCUUGUUGGUGGGGUAGUGGCUUACCAAGGCUUUGACGGGUAGCCGGCCUGAGAGGGUGACCGGCCACAUUGGGACUGAGAUACGGCCCGGACUCCUACGGGAGGCAGCAGUGAGGAAUAUUGCACAAUGGGCGGAAGCCUGAUGCAGCAACGCCGCGUGCGGGAUGACGGCCUUCGGGUUGUAACCCGCUUUCGCCUGUGACGAAGCGUGAGUGACGGUAAUGGGUAAAGAAGCACCGGCUAACUACGUG
rnacentral:rRNA from 1 species